rnacentral:rRNA from 1 species
UACAGAGGGUGCGAGCGUUAAUCGGAAUUACUGGGCGUAAAGCGUGCGUAGACGGUAGCGUAGUCAGAUGUGAAAGCCCCGGGCUCAACCUGGGAAUUGCAUUCGAGACUGCGUGGCUAGGGGUGCGGAAGAGGGAAGCGGAAUUUCCGGUGUAGCGGUGAAAUGCGUAGAUAUCGGAAGGAACACCAGUGGCGAAAGCGGCUUCCUGGUCCAGCACCGACGUCAGGCACGAAA